rnacentral:lncRNA from 1 species
GAAGAGCCCAUGUGUGAUGAAGUUCAGAGUCCCUUCUGGCUUUAAGAGACUGACCUCACUGGACACAAGGAGCGAGGGACAACAUGCUUAUGUCUAUCUGCUGACAGCAUUUUGGAUACCUGCCUGCAAGGCUCAGGGGACAACUGGGGACAUUAGCCACUGGUCCUUGCCCCAGUACUCGUAUCAUGGCACACGUUACCAGAUACAUCAGCACCAGCGGCUCACUAACCUUCUGCCCAUGG